rnacentral:rRNA from 1 species
AUUGAACGCUGGCGGCAGGCCUAACACAUGCAAGUCGAACGGUAACAGGAAGCAGCUUGCUGCUUCGCUGACGAGUGGCGGACGGGUGAGUAAUGUCUGGGAAGCUGCCUGAUGGAGGGGGAUAACUACUGGAAACGGUAGCUAAUACCGCAUAAUGUCGCAAGACCAAAGAGGGGGACCUUCGGGCCUCUUGCCAUCGGAUGUGCCCAGAUGGGAUUAGCUUGUUGGUGGGGUAAUGGCUCACCAAGGCGACGAUCCCUAGCUGGUCUGAGAGGAUGACCAGCCACACUGGAACUGAGACACGGUCCAGACUCCUACGGGAGGCAGCAGUGGGGAAUAUUGCACAAUGGGCGCAAGCCUGAUGCAGCCAUGCCGCGUGUAUGAAGAAGGCCUUCGGGUUGUAAAGUACUUUCAGCGGGGAGGAAGGGAGUAAAGUUAAUACCUUUGCUAAUUGACGUUACCCGCAGAAGAAGCACCGGCUAACUCCGUG